rnacentral:rRNA from 1 species
CCCUAUUAUUAUAAUAAAUUAAAAAUUAGUAUAAUUGAAAAUUAAUAAUUUUGGCGGUUGAUUUUUUUUUAGAGGAGCUUGUUAUUAAGUAGAAUUGGCUCUUUAAAUUUUAGUAUUAAUAUAAUUUAUUCAUCUCCGUUAUCAACAAAAUUAAUUUAAUAAAUAUUUUUAGUAUAUCAGGUCAAGAUGUAGUUUUUAUUAAAUAUAAUUAGCUAUAUUUAUGGAAUGAAUGGAUUUUAUAAAAUCAAUAAUAUGUAUAUAAAUUUGAAUUGAAUUUAAUUGUAAUAAUAAUUAGAAAGUUAUUAUGAAUAACAUUAAUUAAUGUA